rnacentral:rRNA from 1 species
AUUGAACGCUGGCGGCAGGCUUAACACAUGCAAGUCGAGCGAGCGGCGGACGGGUGAGUAAUGUCGGGGAAACUGCCUGACGGAGGGGGAUAACUACGGGCCACGUUAGCUACUACCGCAUACCAUCAGAUGUGCCCAGAUGGGAUUAGCUAGUAGGUGGGGUAAAGGCUCACCUAGGCGACGAUCCCUAGCUGGACUGAGAGGAAGACCAGCCACACUGGAACUGAGACACGGCCCAGACUCCUACGGGAGGCAGCAGUGGGGAAUAUUGCACAAUGGGCGCAAGCCUGAUGCAGCCAUGCCGCGUGUGUGAAGAAGGCCUUCGGGUUGUAAAGCACUUUCAGCGAGGAGGCGUUACUCGCAGAAGAAGCACCGGCUAACUCCGUGCCAGCAGCCGCGGUAAUAC